rnacentral:rRNA from 1 species
CCCUUAGAUGUUCUGGGCCGCACGCGCGCUACACUGACGAAGUCAGCGAGCAUGUCCUACGCCGACAGGUGCGGGGAAUCUUGUCAAACUUCGUCGUGAUGGGGAUUGAUUAUUGAAAUUCUUGAUCAUCAACGAGGAAUUCCUAGUAAGCGCAAGUCAGCAGCUUUCGUUGAUUACGUCCCUGCCCUUUGUACACACCGCCCGUCGCUACUACCGAUUGAAUGGUUUAGUGAGAUCUUCGGAUUGGCGCCACUGCGGCUCAGCAAUGGGCUCGGUGGAUGCCGAAAAGUUGAUCAAACUUGAUCAUUUAGAGGAAGUAAAAGUCGUAACA